ACGCGAAGAACCUUACCGGCCCUUGACUUCUUGGUCGCAGGGGACAGAGACGUCCCCUUUCAGUUCGGCUGGACCAAUGACAGGUGCUGCAUGGCUGUCGUCAGCUCGUGCUGUGAAGUGUCGGGUUAAGUCCCUUAACGAGCGCAACCCCUAUUGUUAGUUGCUAACGCGUCAUGGCGAGUACUCUAGCGAGACUGCCGGUGUCAAACCGGAGGAAGGUGGGGAUGACGUCAAGUCCUCAUGGCCCUUACGGGUUGGGCUACACACGUGCUACAAUGGCGGUGACAGAGGGCUGCGAUCCCGCAAGGGGGAGCAAAUCCCUAAAAACCGUCUCAGUUCGGAUUGUUCUCUGCAACUCGAGAGCAUGAAGGUGGAAUCGCUAGUAAUCGCAGAACAGCAUGCUGCGGUGAAUACGUUCCCGGGCCUUGUACACACCGCCCGUCACACCAUGGGAGUUGGUUCUACCCGACGACGGUGCGCUAACCUUUUCGGAGGCAGCCGGCCACGGUAGGAUCAGCGACUGGGGUGAAGUCGUAACAAGGUAGCCGUACUGGAAGGUGCGGCUGGAUCACCUCCUU
rnacentral:rRNA from 1 species